rnacentral:rRNA from 1 species
UAACAGGAUUCCCCUAGUAACUGCGAGUGAAGCGGGAAAAGCUCAAAUUUAAAAUCUGGCGGUCUUUGGCCGUCCGAGUUGUAAUCUAGAGAAGUAAUGCCCGUGCUGGACCGUGUAUAAGUCUCCUGGGAUGGGGCGUCAUAGAGGGUGAGAAUCCCGUCUUUGACACGGACUACCAGUGCAUUGUGGUAUGCUCUCAAAGAGUCGAGUUGUUUGGGAAUGCAGCUCAAAAUGGGUGGUAAAUUCCAUCUAAAGCUAAAUAUUGGCGAGAGACCGAUAGCGAACAAGUACCGUGAGGGAAAGAUGAAAAGAACUUUGGAAAGAGAGUUAAACAGUACGUGAAAUUGCUGAAAGGGAAACGCUUGAAGUCAGUCGCGUUGGCCAGGGAUCAGCCUUGCUUUUGCAUGGUGUACUUUCUGGUUGACGGGUCAGCAUCAAUUUUGACCGCUGGAAAAGGGCCUGGGGAAUGUGGCAGCUUCGGCUGUGUUAUAGCCCCUGGUCGCAUACAGUGGUUGGGAUUGAGGAACUCAGCACGCCGCAAGGCCGGGUUUCGACCACGUUCGUGCUUAGGAUGCUGGCAUAAUGGCUUUAAGCGACCCGUCUUGAAACACGGACCAAGGAGUCUAACAUGCCUGCGAGUAUUUGGGUGGAAAACCCGAGUGCGCAAUGAAAGUGAAAGUUGAGAUCCCUGUCGUGGGGAGCAUCGACGCCCGGACCAGAACUUUUGGGACGGAUCCGCGGUGGAGCAUGUAUGUUGGGACCCGAAAGAUGGUGAACUAUGCCUGAAUAGGGUGAAGCCAGAGGAAACUCUGGUGRARGCUCGUAGCGAUUCUGACGUGCAAAUCGAUCGUCAAAUUUGGGUAUAGGGGCGAAAGACUAAUCGAACCAUCUAGUAGCUGGGUUCCUGCC